GCAACAGCAAAGAGCAGCAAGACUGCAAUUCGCAACCCACAAAAAAAAGGAUUCCGUAAUCGCAAUUUGUAAGCAACAUGAUUAGGCUACUUGAGGUCAAUCACAAAUCUCUUACUAAAAGAAAAGCUGCAGAUGAUAUAACAUUUUAUCUACAAACUUUAUACUAAAUAUUAUGGGGUUAAGAAUGUAAAAUAAAAGCCAUUAGGUAGUUCUUAAGAGAGUCACUAGAUCCAUUGAAAAGUAAAAGAUCCUGUCCAACAGAUAAACAUAAAAAUGUGUCUAUACAUGGAUAGCUCUAAACUCAUCAUAAAAAGACAAGAACCUUCCUUAGAAGAUCAGCAAAGCACUCAGAGAACUAAAUCUAAGGAUUAAUACGAAUCUCUUGCUCUAAAAUUUCGAUAAUUGGCCACCAAACAAAAUGAUAAAGAAGUCAAGUCAGGGUUCACAACGGAACUCUUGAGUUUCACAUUAUGGCUUAUCCAUAAAUCAACUCAAAGGAAUCUGGUUCUGAUCAGGAUCAUAGUAUUCCCAAAUUCCAUAAACCAAAACACUAGUUCAAUGAACCCUGAGCAUUAAUCAGUGAUCCAACAUAAAAGCUAACAAGAUUGACCAAAAAAAACACAGAGAAUCGAAUCAGUGCACUCACAACAAUGAAAGUAAACGAAAAUUAAAAGGCGGCAAGUGGUAGAGAAAGAAACGAACCAGCCACGGAUGAAAGAGAAGCAA